rnacentral:rRNA from 1 species
UUAGUUGCCAUCAUUCAGUUGGGCACUCUAAGGAAACUGCCGAUGAUAAGCCGGAGGAAGGUGGGGAUGACGUCAAGUCCUCAUGGCCCUUACACGCUGGGCUACACACGUGCUACAAUGGCGGUGACAGUGGGCAGCAACCGGGCGACCGGUGGCUAAUCUCCAAAAACCGUCUCAGUUCGGAUUGUUCUCCGCAACUCGAGAGCAUGAAGGCGGAAUCGCUAGUAAUCGCGGAUCAGCAUGCCGCGGUGAAUACGUUCCCAGGCCUUGUACACACCGCCCGUCACACCAUGGGAUUUGGAUUCACCCGAAGGCAGUGCGCUAACCGCAAGGAG